rnacentral:rRNA from 1 species
GACGAACGCUGGCGGCGUGCUUAACACAUGCAAGUCGAGCGGAAAGGCCCUGCUUUUGUGGGGUGCUCGAGUGGCGAAGGGGUGAGUAACACGUGAGUAACCUGCCCUUGACUUUGGGAUAACUUCAGGAAACUGGGGCUAAUACCGGAUAGGAGCUCCUGCUGCAUGGUGGGGGUUGGAAAGUUUCGGUGGUUGGGGAUGGACUCGCGGCUUAUCAGCUUGUUGGUGGGGUAGUGGCUUACCAAGGCUUUGACGGGUAGCCGGCCUGAGAGGGUGACCGGCCACAUUGGGACUGAGAUACGGCACAGACUCCUACGGGAGGCAGCAGUGGGGAAUAUUGCACAAUGGGCGGAAGCCUGAUGCAGCAACGCAGCGUGCGGGAUGACGGCAUUCGGGUUGUAAACCGCUUUCGCCUGUGACGAAGCGUGAGUGACGGUAAUGGGUAAAGAAGCACCGGCUAACUACGUG